rnacentral:sRNA from 1 species
GGGGGAGCCGUGAAGAUGGCGGCAGUGGUGGAGGUGGAGGUUGGAGGUGGUGCUGCUGGGGAACGGGAGCUGGAUGAGGUUGAUAUGUCAGAUCUCUCUCCAGAAGAGCAAUGGAGGGUCGAGCACGCACGCAUGCAUGCCAAGCACCGUGGCCAUGAAGCUAUGCAUGCUGAAAUGGUCCUCAUCCUCAUCGCAACCUUGGUGGUGGCGCAGCUGCUCCUGGUACAGUGGAAGCAGAGGCACCCACGCUCCUACAAUAUGGUGACCCUCUUUCAGAUGUGGGUUGUUCCCCUCUAUUUCACAGUGAAGCUGCACUGGUGGAGGUUCCUAGUGAUCUGGAUCUUGUUCUCUGCUGUCACAGCCUUUGUUACCUUCCGAGCCACCCGAAAACCUCUAGUACAGACAACCCCAAGGUUGGUUUAUAAGUGGUUCCUGCUAAUCUAUAAAAUCAGCUAUGCCACUGGCAUUGUUGGCUACAUGGCUGUCAUGUUUACCCUCUUUGGUCUUAACUUAUUAUUCAAGAUCAAACCAGAAGAUGCCAUGGACUUUGGCAUCUCCCUUCUCUUCUAUGGCCUCUACUAUGGAGUUCUGGAACGGGACUUUGCAGAAAUGUGUGCAGACUACAUGGCAUCUACCAUAGGGGUAAGUUCAUCCGGGUUCUUAAAUACUGCUUCUUGACACCUCCAAAUUGCUCAAGUUGAUGUCACUUGUUUAAUGGAAG